AGCACUUGUGUGUGUCUUUGUUUAAUAUCUAACAAAAGCUUACCAACAGGUGCAAAAAUAAACAUUCUUUUGCAACCCAGAACUUAUUGUUCAGUAUGAGUUUUGUUACAUGUAAGAAGGAAUAUG
ensembl:snoRNA